UUAUUUCUGAGUUGAGCAGCAAAUUUCCCUUAUCAUGAACAACUCAUUUCUUUAACCUUUUUUCCUGUGUCAACAAAUCAAAUAUGCCUCUAGCAAGCCUGUACUCCAGGCGCAGUAGGGUGUUUGGAUCUUGACCCCAUCUCUAAGGCUUUUUCUUCCUCUUUCAGCCCAUUGGUACCAAUAUGUUCCUUCUGCUUGUUUAUAUACUCCAGGCAAAACUGGGAGGGGCUAGGUUGAAGGGACACAGGGAGAGGAGGACUGGCUGGACUGAGGGCAUAGAUAACGAGUUCUGGCUCAGCAGGGUCAGCCUGGCCUGCGAUCAUGAAGAAGAGAGGUGGGGAUGGUUGGUAAAAAAGGCAGGAGUCGAGCGGAGGAGGCAAAAGGGGUGCUCAUGGGGCAGUGGGAUGAGGAAGAAGGAAACAACCAAUUUAGGUCUCAGGUCCACUUAGGCUAUGAAGGGCAAACAGAGAAAUCUGUUCUAUCUUCCCUCCAUCCCUUCUUGGGGAAGGACAAACAACGAAGGAGGCCCGCUACCUCCACGCCUCUCCGGACCUAGCUCCUUAACGGCCCCUGGAGAACUCGCGAUCAAAAUUAGACCUCCGAGCUGCCCAAAGGGACCCGGAAGUGCACGCCGAGGACCCGAGGUUCCAGCCGUCCCCAUGGAGGCCGGGGCCGCCCACCCUGCGGAGCGCGCCGAGCGGGCUGAAUGAUAUCUGCCUGUCCCUUGGGCCGUGUUCUGAACAACUUUUAGAGAGGAUCUUGGCUUUGGCGCAGCACCGGGGAUUGGACCCAGCCCAUGGAGAAGCUGCCUGAGCAGAUGUCCCCGGAGUCCCUGUGUCCAUCCCCCUAGCAGGAGCCUCGAAAGAACAAGGAUGGUGAGACCUAGACUGAGGAUCAUUUAAUUAUAAAGCAGAAAAUCUUGAAGUAGGGAUACGACUACAUGAAGGAGAUGAAUGUGAACAAAACAAAUGUGAGGGAGCCUAUGAAUAUGGACGAAACUUCAGUAAUAUCGCAAACCUUAUCCAACAGCCACAAACUCUUAUUGAAGAGAAAUCUCCAAUGUGUAACAUAUGUGGAAAAUUAUUCAAGCGGAACUCUUACCUUAUUCAGCAUGAAAAAAUCCACACACAAGAGAAACCUUAUGAGUGUCAUGAAUGUGGAAAAGCCUUUGGACAUAGUUCAAACCUUAUGCAGCAUCAAAGAAUACAUACUGAAGAGAAACCCUAUGAAUGUAGUGAGUGUAGGAAGACCUUCCGGCGCAGCUCACACCUCAUCCAGCAUCAGAUAAUUCAUACAGGAGAGAUGCCUUAUAAGUGUAAUGAAUGUGGAAAAGCUUUUGGUGGGAGCUCAAGUCUUAUUCGACAUCAGAGAAUCCACACUCAGGAAAAACCCUGUGAAUGUACUGCAUGUGGGAAGGCCUUCAGCCAGAGCUAGAAUCUAACAGAUCAUCAGCGAGUUCACACCAAAGAGAGACCAUAUGAAUGCAAUGACUGUGGGAAAACUUACAGUUGUAACUCGCACCUUAUUGAGCAUCAGAGAGUCCAUACAGGGGAGGCUCCUUAUGACUGUAAUGAGUGUGGGAAAUCUUUUAGUAGGAGUUCAUUCCUUAUUAAACAUCAUAGAAUUCACACUGGAGAGAGACCCUAUGAAUGUAGUGAAUGUGGGAAGGCCUUUAGUCGGAACUCCCACCUUAUUCAGCAUCAGAAAACUCACAGUGGAGUCAAACCCUCUGAACGUAAAGAAUGUGGGAAAACCUUCAAGUAUAGUUCAUCCCUUAUUAAUCAUCAGGGAAUCCAUAUAAGGGAGAAGCCAUGAAUGAAAUGAAGGUGGUAAAGCCUUUGGUCAGACCUCAGCUCUUCCUGAACACCAGAGAACUUGAGCUGGGGAGAAACCCUUUGGGUAUAGUAAGUGUGGACGGCCGUCAUUCCUAGUUCAACUCUUAUUAAGACCUGAAAGUCCACAUGGUGGACAAAUCUCAUGGCUGUGUUCAGUGUAUGAACACCUUUAGACAGAGUUCCUGCCUUAUUCAACAUCAGCAGGUUCACUUUGGGGGAAUGAUAGCUACGGGGAAGGCCUCGCUGUGUGUCAGAGAGUCUACACGAAAGGGGCAUGAUGCAGCACUGCAGAGGUGAUGACUAAAGUGGCACCUUUAGCACUUCUUUCAUUUGAUACUGAGGAUCUACAUCAAAGGGAGAUUCUGGGGGCCGGCCCUGUGGCUUAGUGGUUAAGUGUGUGUGCUCCGCUACUGACGGCCUGGGU